UACGUAGGGGGCAAGCGUUAUCCGGAUUUACUGGGUGUAAAGGGAGCGUAGACGGCGAAGAAAGUCUGAAGUGAAAGCCCGCGGCUCAACCGCGGAAUGGCUUUGGAAACUUUUUUGCUGGAGUACCGGAGAGGUAAGCGGAAUUCCUAGUGUAGCGGUGAAAUGCGUAGAUAUUAGGAGGAACACCAGUGGCGAAGGCGGCUUACUGGACUGUAACUGACGUUGAGGCUCGAAGGCGUGGGGAGCAAACAGG
rnacentral:rRNA from 1 species